rnacentral:lncRNA from 1 species
GUGUCCGAUGGUAGUGUCGGUCUCGUGCUACCUGCCCGUUGGCUCUGUCCCCCCUCUCGCCCCUUCGGUCGUUUCCACGGCCCUCCAUGUGCGGACUUCGGAUUGUCCCCCUCCCCUCCUACCCACCCAAAUGUUUCGGGUGUUCUUGGGCGGGUUUGGUCCCGUGCUUCCUAUCGGUGGGCUCAGUCCACCCUCGCCCCUUCGAUCGGUUCCGUGGCCCUUU